UAUUUACAAGUGCCUGUACAGACCUGGCAAUAUGACGGUGAUUAUAAGAAUAAAAGGAAGUGAAAAGGAUGCGUUAUCCUCCCUGGAAUUAUCUGGUUUGAUUGCGCUUUUCUACUGCUUUUUCACGUUGAAAAUCAGCUAUACUGAACUUGUACGGGAACCAGAAUGGGAAGAUCCAGAUGACGACCUGCGGCGUCUGUAAGAUACAAACAGAGAAAACAUGCAAAGAAAUAAGUUCAAAUUAAUUGUAUCACUCACACCUACAAUAGUUAGAAGACUAAUUUAUUUGAUGGGGUUAUAUAUAAACUGAACAUAUAAAUAAUCUGAAACCUUCUGUUUAGGCUCACUAACGUAUUACACUUUUUAGUAUUAAAUUUACCACACUUCAUAUUAAAUUUACAA